UACAGAGGGUGCAAGCGUUAAUCGGAGUUACUGGGCGUAAAGGGCGCGUAGGCGGUCUAAUAAGUGAGGUGUGAAAUCCCUGGGCUCAACCUAGGAACUGCACCUUAAACUGUUGGGCUAGAGUACUGUAGAGGGCAGUGGAAUUUCCGGUGUAGCGGUGAAAUGCGUAGAGAUCGGAAGGAACACCAGUGGCGAAGGCGGCUGCCUGGACAGAUACUGACGCUGAGGCGCGAGAGCGUGGGGAGCAAACAGG
rnacentral:rRNA from 1 species